rnacentral:autocatalytically_spliced_intron from 1 species
AAGAGCCGUAUGCCUUAAUAGGGCACGUACGGUUCCGUGAGGGGCCGGUAGAUAAAUACACUUGAGGAAGGGUGUGAAAGUCGAGCCCGGUCUACUCGAC